rnacentral:rRNA from 1 species
AACGAACGCUGGCGGCAGGCCUAACACAUGCAAGUCGAACGGGACCUUCGGGUCUAGUGGCGGACGGGUGAGUAACGCGUGGGAACGUGCCCUUUGGUUCGGAAUAGCCCCGGGAAACUGGGAGUAAUACCGGAUAAGCCCUACGGGGGAAAGAUUUAUCGCCAAAGGAUCGGCCCGCGGUGGAUUAGGUAGUUGGUGAGGUAAUGGCUCACAAAGCCGACGAUCCAUAGCUGGUUUGAGAGGAUGAUCAGCCACACUGGGACUGAGACACGGCCCAGACUCCUACGGGAGGCAGCAGUGGGGAAUCUUAGACAAUGGGGGAAACCCUGAUCUAGCCAUGCCGCGUGAUCGAUGAAGGCCUUAGGGUUGUAAAGAUCUUUCAGUGGGGAAGAUAAUGACUGUACCCACAGAAGAAGCCCCGGCUAACUCCGUGCCAGCCGCCGCCGUAACAC